UACGGAGGGUGCAAGCGUUAUCCGGAUUUACUGGGUUUAAAGGGUGCGUAGGUGGGUUGGUAAGUCAGUGGUGAAAUACUUUCGCUUAACGAAGGAACUGCCAUUGAUACUAUCAAUCUUGAAUACAGUGGAGGUGGGCGGAAUGCGUCAUGUAGUGGUGAAAUACUUAGAUAUGACGCAGAACACCUAUUGCGAAGGCAGCUCGCUACACUGUCAUUGACACUGAGGCACGAAAGCGUGGGGAUCAAACAGG
rnacentral:rRNA from 1 species